CUCAACUGAACUCAACUAUCCGCCUGUGUCGCGUCUCGUCCAACACUGCACUGUCGUGACUUGAUCAUUCAAUGAUGAAUUGUACGGUAGGUUCAGCCAUUCCUUGAUCGACCUGACACCAGCAUUAGGCCUACUCGAUGUGUAUGAAGCAAGCUGCCUCUGCAUCAAGUGAGGGAAGAAGCCGCCACUGAAAAGCUUUUUGGACUGUCAUUUGAAGGACACAAAUGAAAGGACAGGAAUCCUGCUCUGCGGCGUUGGCCUCACUAUUUAUUCAAGAAGCCCUUGGACACCACCAGAAUGUAUGAAAAUUGUAAACAGUAGGCACAGUCAUUCCUUGAUCGACCUGGCAUCAACAUCGCUCGAUGUGUAUGAAGCUGCAAGUGAGAGAAGAAGCCGCCACUGAACACCUUUUUGGACUGUCAUGACUCAAAUGAAAGGACAGGACUUCUACUCUGCUGGGUCGGCCUCACUACAUAUUCAAGAAGCCCUCGGACGUCAUCAGAAUGUAUUAAUGUGAAGAGGCAACAAGGGAGAGAUGAACGCUAUCAAAAAUGUGGAGAUGGAUCUGGCAGCCGACCGCUUUGGCACACACCCAACAAGAAACAAAACAAUAAAGAAUACUAAAAUGCAUAA